rnacentral:rRNA from 1 species
GAUGAACGCUGGCGGCGUGCCUAAUACAUGCAAGUCGAGCGAACGGACGAGAAGCUUGCUUCUCUGAUGUUAGCGGCGGACGGGUGAGUAACACGUGGAUAACCUACCUAUAAGACUGGGAUAACUUCGGGAAACCGGAGCUAAUACCGGAUAAGAUUAUGAACCGCAUGGUUCAAAAGUGAAAGACGGUCUUGCUGUCACUUAUAGAUGGAUCCGCGCUUCAUUAGCUAGUUGGUAAGGUAACGGCUUACCAAGGCAACGAUGCAUAGCCGACCUGAGAGGGUGAUCGGCCACACUGGAACUGAGACACGGUCAAGACUCCUACGGGAGGCAGCAGAAGGGAAUCUUCCGAAAUGGGCGAAAGCCUGACGGAGAAACGCCGCGUGAUUGAUGAAGGUCUUCGGAUCGUAAAACUCUGUUAUUAGGGAAGACCAUAUGUGUAAGUAACAGUGCACAUCUUGACGGUACCUAAUCAGAAAGCCACGGCUAACUACGCG